rnacentral:rRNA from 1 species
GAUGAACGCUGGCGGCGUGCCUAAUACAUGCAAGUCGAGCGAACAGACGAGGAGCUUGCUCCUCUGACGUUAGCGGCGGACGGGUGAGUAACACGUGGAUAACCUACCUAUAAGACUGGGAUAACUUCGGGAAACCGGAGCUAAUACCGGAUAAUAUAUUGAACCGCAUGGUUCAAUAGUGAAAGACGGUUUUGCUGUCACUUAUAGAUGGAUCCGCGCCGCAUUAGCUAGUUGGUAAGGUAACGGCUUACCAAGGCAACGAUGCGUAGCCGACCUGAGAGGGUGAUCGGCCACACUGGAACUGAGACACGGUCCAGACUCCUACGGGAGGCAGCAGUAGGGAAUCUUCCGCAAUGGGCGAAAGCCUGACGGAGCAACGCCGCGUGAGUGAUGAGGGCCUUCGGAUCGUAAAACUCUGUUAUUAGGGAAGAACAAAUGUGUAAGUAACUAUGCACGUCUUGACGGUACCUAAUCAGAAAGCCACGGCUAACUACGUG